UGAUAGCUUGCUAUCAGGCGUCGAGCGGCGGACGGGUGAGUAAUACUUAGGAAUCUACCUAGUAGUGGGGGAUAGCUCGGGGAAACUCGAAUUAAUACCGCAUACGACCUACGGGAGAAAGGGGGCAACUUGUUGCUCUCGCUAUUAGAUGAGCCUAAGUCGGAUUAGCUAGAUGGUGGGGUAAAGGCCUACCAUGGCGACGAUCUGUAGCUGGUCUGAGAGGAUGAUCAGCCACACCGGGACUGAGACACGGCCCGGACUCCUACGGGAGGCAGCAGUGGGGAAUAUUGGACAAUGGGGGCAACCCUGAUCCAGCCAUGCCGCGUGUGUGAAGAAGGCCUUUUGGUUGUAAAGCACUUUAAGCAGUGAAGAAGACUCCAUGGUUAAUACCCAUGGACGAUGACAUUAGCUGCAGAAUAAGCACCGGCUAACUCUGUGCCAGCAGCCGCGGUAAUACAGAGGGUGCAAGCGUUAAUCGGAAUUACUGGGCGUAAAGCGAGCGUAGGUGGCUUGAUAAGUCAGAUGUGAAAUCCCCGGGCUUAACCUGGGAACUGCAUCUGAUACUGUUAGGCUAGAAUAGGUGAGAGGAAGGUAGAAUUCCAGGUGUAGCGGUGAAAUGCGUAGAGAUCUGGAGGAAUACCGAUGGCGAAGGCAGCCUUCUGGCAUCAUAUUGACACUGAGGUUCGAAAGCGUGGGUAGCAAACAGGAUUAGAUACCCUGGUAGUCCACGCCGUAAACGAUGUCUACUAGUCGUUGGGUCCCUUGAGGACUUAGUGACGCAGCUAACGCAAUAAGUAGACCGCCUGGGGAGUACGGCCGCAAGGUUAAAACUCAAAUGAAUUGACGGGGGCCCGCACAAGCGGUGGAGCAUGUGGUUUAAUUCGAUGCAACGCGAAGAACCUUACCUGGUCUUGACAUAUCUAGAAUCCUGCAGAGAUGCGGGAGUGCCUUCGGGAAUUAGAAUACAGGUGCUGCAUGGCUGUCGUC
rnacentral:rRNA from 1 species